GGUUAACGCUGGCGGCAUGCCUAAUACAUGCAAGUCGGACGAGGGUAGCAAUACCCUAGUGGCGAACGGGUGAGUAACACGUGGGAAAUCUGCCUUUAAGUCGAGGAUAACUGCUGGAAACGGCAGCUAAAACUGGAUAGGUUAUAUUGGGGCAUCCUGAUAUAAUUAAAAGUCCUUUACGGGAAUGCUUAAAGAUGAUCCUGCGUCGCAUUAGCUAGUUGGUGAGGUAGCGGCUCACCAAGGCGACGAUGCGUAGCUGUGCUGAGAGGCAAAACAGCCACACUGGGACUGAGACACGGCCCAGACUCCUACGGGAGGCAGCAGUAGGGAAUUUUCGGCAAUGGGGGAAACCCUGACCGAGCAAUGCCGCGUGAAUGAAGAAGGUCUUCGGACUGUAAAAUUCUGUUAUUUGUGGAAGAAAGGUAGUUGGAGGAAAUGCCAAUUACUUGACGGUACCAAAUGAGAAAGCCCCGGCUAACUAUGUGCCAGCAGCCGACGGUAAACAUUAA
rnacentral:rRNA from 1 species